rnacentral:rRNA from 1 species
CGCAAGCCUGACGGAGCAAUACCGCGUGAGGGAGGAAGGCUCUUGGGUUGUAAACCUCUUUUAUCAGGGAAGAAAGAAUGACGGUACCUGAUGAAUCAGCAUCGGCUAACUCCGUGCCAGCAGCCGCGGUAAUACGGGGGAUGCAAGCGUUAUCCGGAAUUAUUGGGCGUAAAGCGUCCGUAGGUGGCUUAUCAAGUCUGCUGUUAAAGAAUGCGGCUCAACCGCAUAUGGGCAGUGGAAACUGAUGAGCUAGAGUGCGAUAGGGGUUACAGGAAUUCCCAGUGUAGCGGUGAAAUGCGUAGAUAUUGGGAAGAACACCAGCGGCGAAAGCGUGUGACUGGGUCUGCACUGACACUGAGGGACGAAAGCU